AGGUAGAAAUGCAAAAAUUGGUUAUUUUAUUUCUAACACAGAAAUCUAUCUCAGGCUUUAAAGUGGUGCAAGGCAAAGUCCACCAGGCCCAUGCUCAAAAUCCUACAGCAUCACACAGUUCUGUUCUAUGAGAGUACACAGGCAGUCUCAGUGGUGGUCCUUGUACCUAAAGGAAGGAGAUGCUAAACUGUGGCAAGAACAACAGAGCUUCUGGCAAACACGAGUGGGAAGGUGUAGACAGCUUAGCAGACUGGAAGCCAGGAAGGUCGCUCAGGCAUCCAAGCCCUUUUAUUUCUGACUAGACUUUUGAAAUUGUGCUUUCUUUUGUUUCUUUCCACUUUCCCAUGCCACCUGGAAGGCUGUGAGAACUGUUCUGCAUCCUCUUCAUUGAAGGUUUUGGCAGCAGCAGCUUUUUCAACCCCCCAGGAACCAAGGCAGAGAAAGGCAGAGGGGAAGAGAGGAAUGAAUGGUAUAUAGUAAGAGUAAAAAUAAAGUCUAAAAGAAAACAACAAAAGUUGCUUUUAAAAUGUUUUCUCUGAUCUUAUCUUUUACAAAAAUAAAGGAAAAAGAGUUCAUGCUCCUGUUUCUGCCCUGGUUUUGCAAUGCCUCUGUGAGUUUCUGUUGUACCUGCACUAGUGCCACAUAAACCUAUUUCAAGAACAAGGCAGGACAAAGCAAGUGGACACUGUGAUUCUGCUUUGGCAUCUUCCUGCACUCUCAGUCUGCAUCAGAUCAACAAAUCAACGUCUUUUAACGUAGACUUUUCUAUUUAAUCGCUAUAUACAAAGUUAAACUGACCUCGUGUAUUUAGCACAUUAACAUGAGCCAGCAUAAUUGUCUUGAGGUGGAUCAAUUAAAGAAAAACUCUUAAUUGUUUUUAAUCAAGUUAGACCUGCUGCUACUUUAGAAAUCCUUCACUGGAAAGAAACCCCUUGUCCUUUUUCAGAGCUGGGCACAAUCUGCCAUGUCGUUCCAGGAGUCCAGGAUAUCUGAUGGCUGCCCUACAUCAUUUCACCUAUCGUAGGCUUACAAAAACUCCACAAGGAACAGCCUCCAGGAAAAGAU
ensembl:lncRNA